AGAGUUUGAUCAUGGCUCAGGACGAACGCUGGCGGCGUGGAUAAGGCAUGCAAGUCGAACGCGAACGAGACAACUAAUUCGUUAGGCGUCUUUAGUAGAGUGGCGAACGGGUGAGUAACGCGUGAACAACAUACCUCUCAGAGGGGAAUAACAAAGGGAAACCUCUGCUAAUACCGCAUAAUUCAAUUUAAUUAUUUUAUAUUGAUGAAAGGUGGGGACCUUCGGGCCUGCCACUGAGAGAUUGGUUCGCGUCCCAUUAGCUUGUUGGUAGGGUAACGGCCUACCAAGGCGACGAUGGGUAGCCGGCCUGAGAGGGCGACCGGCCACACUGGGAUUGAGAUACGGCCCAGACUCCUUCGGGAGGCAGCAGUCGAGAAUCUUCCACAAUGGACGAAAGUCUGAUGGAGCGACGCCGCGUGAGGGAUUAAGGCUUUAUGAGUCGUAAACCUCUGUCAGAAGGGAAGAACAGUUUAAGUAUUAAUAGUACUUUAACCUGACGUUACCUUCAGAGGAAGCUCCGGCUAACUCCGUGCCAGCAGCCGCGGUAAUACGGGGGGAGCAAGCGUUGUCCGGAAUCAUUGGGCGUAAAGGGCACGUAGGCGGUUUUGUAAGUCGAAUGUGAAAUCUCACGGCUCAACCGUGAAACUGCGUUCGAAACUACAUAACUUGAGUUAGGGAGAGGUGUACGGAAUUCCUGGUGUAGCGGUGGAAUGCGUAGAUAUCAGGAAGAACACCAAUGGCGAAGGCAGUACACUGGCCUAUAACUGACGCUGAGGUGCGAAAGCGUGGG
rnacentral:rRNA from 1 species